AACCCCACUACUCGGGCAGACGCUCCCUG
rnacentral:sRNA from 1 species